AUUGAACGCUGGCGGCAGGCUUAACACAUGCAAGUCGAACGGUAGCAGGAGAAAGGUUGCUUUCUUGCUGACGAGUGGCGGACGGGUGAGUAAUGCUUGGGAAUCUGGCUUAUGGAGGGGGAUAACGACGGGAAACUGUCGCUAAUACCGCGUAUUAUCGGAAGAUGAAAGUGCGGGACUGAGAGGCCGCAUGCCAUAGGGUGAGCCCAAGUGGGAUUAGGUAGUUGGUGGGGUAAAGGCCUACCAAGCCUGCGAUCUCUAGCUGGUCUGAGAGGAUGACCAGCCACACUGGAACUGAGACACGGUCCAGACUCCUACGGGAGGCAGCAGUGGGGAAUAUUGCGCAAUGGGGGGAACCCUGACGCAGCCAUGCCGCGUGAAUGAAGAAGGCCUUAGGGUUGUAAAGUUCUUUCGGUAUUGAGGAAGGUUGAUGUGUUAAUAGCACAUCAAAUUGACGUUAAAUACAGAAGAAGCACCGGCUAACUCCGUGCCAGCAGCCGCGGUAAUACGGAGGGUGCGAGCGUUAAUCGGAAUAACUGGGCGUAAAGGGCACGCAGGCGGUUAUUUAAGUGAGGUGUGAAAGCCCCGGGCUUAACCUGGGAAUUGCAUUUCAGACUGGGUAACUAGAGUACUUUAGGGAGGGGUAGAAUUCCACGUGUAGCGGUGAAAUGCGUAGAGAUGUGGAGGAAUACCGAAGGCGAAGGCAGCCCCUUGGGAAUGUACUGACGCUCAUGUGCGAAAGCGUGGGGAGCAAACAGG
rnacentral:rRNA from 1 species